rnacentral:tRNA from 1 species
CGAGAGGGGUGAUACGCAGGUUUCUCCGAUAUAGUAAAAUAUAAAAAAGACUUUUUUUCCUCGGU